AAAGAUGUCGGUGUCACACAUUACUUGAUACACAUGACGUUGUUGCUGCUGCUCAGAUCAUUGAUCAAUGGCCUCAUUUCUAACCGUAGCACAUACACAAAACACGGCCUGAAAGAAGGUGCGUGACACUAUCCGCCACAAAUAAAUGAAUGUGUGGGAAACGCUGAUGGGAACUUUAUCUAAUAAUAGUUUAUUUGUUUGUUAUUUUGAGUUAAAUGUGUUAAAUUUGACUCUGGAAAUAAAAGGGCAUUUUGAGAUUUUGAAGUUAGUUUAAAGUAAUAAUUUUACACCAGAAGCGUUGAAAAAGUAGCGAGUAGUAACCGAUACCCAACCCUAGUAAUGAUGGAGCUCACCUGAUGUUUGUCUUGUUUUCACCUGCCCUAGUGAUGCGUUUCCAUCUGCUGACGCACACACGACUGAAUGUGGUGACGUUCCUCAACGAGCUGCCAAAAAGCCAGCAUGACAUCAUCUCUUUCACCGUGGACGUAAACGCCUACACGUCAUGGAUUUAAGGAAAGGUGUUAGGAGAGCAGUUAGGAAAAGGUGAUCACGUUUGUUUUGACGAUCAGAUGCACUUCCACUAGGUGAUGUAAUGAUCCUACGGCCACGCCUCCUUUCCUCAGAAAACGCUCUUUUAUCACAACCACCACUUAAACACUUCCAGGUGUUAAAGGACAGUGGAUAGGAAAGGAGAUAGGAGGGACUAUAGGGACACAGCCUUGGUGUGACCUAUAUUACUGUAAUAUUAACACCAUAGAAAGUCUCUAACCUUUGAACCCUGUGGUCCUCGUUCAUACUUGAACAGUUUGUGCAUCAUCAACGACCAGCUCUUCAUCAGAAUGGCUACAACGGAGCAGAUCAGCAGAGCUUUUGUGCCCCGCCCCCUUCCUCCAGCCCAGUGCCCACCCUCACUGCCCCACAGCAGGAGAUGCUCAGCACCUUCUCCCUGAAGUCAGACAUGAACCUGGAAUGAUCCCUGAAGUGUUUGCAGGACAACAAGUGGGACUUGAACAAAGCAGCACAUAUCUUCACUCAGUUAAAGACGGCGGGAAAGAUCCCAGACGUGUCGUUCCUAAAGUAAAACGUCUUUGUAUUUUUGUAUUAAAUAAAGUCAAAGUGAACUCUUGUGAAGCGUUUGAUCAGAUAUUUGACCUGAAUACUUAUUUAAUUUUUUUUUAUUAAUCCGUUUUCCGAAUUCAUUUUUUAAAACCAUUUUCCGAAUUCAUUUUCCGAAUAUUUUCCACUAAAAUCAGAGUUAAUAACUUUUAAAAUAUAAUUUCUUUUCAAAGGAAGAAGAAAAACAUUAUGGUUCAAUGUCUGCUUAAAUAAUUUAUUUCUCUUUUUUAAUAAACAUUUUUUUUCAAAUAAAGUAAAAGCA
rnacentral:lncRNA from 1 species